ACGAUGUAGAUUUUUUUCUCAGUUAACAAAAAUGUAUUUCUAGAAUCAACUGUAAAUGGGUUUGGAAUUUUAUGUUGCUCAUCAGGAGCAAGUAGUUUCAAAAAUUUUCUGUUGUUUGUGCUUUCGUCACAUCCACUGCAACAACCUUCAGAUCACACUUUACUUCCAACGAUUCGCGACGGCUGCCCUAAAGAUUGUUACCAGAACAACUUUUAACAUAAACUACCAGCAUAUAUUUUGCAAGCAGAUUUUCGGAUGUUGUUGUGCAAUCAGUAAAUCCAAUUAUUUCAUUGGUGGUUGGCUUGAACACAAGAUUUUCCCUGAUUUUCAUUUCGCACAUAACCAGAACUUCUAGAAAGAGGGGCAUUCAACUUUAAAGGCAUUGGUCUUUUGCUGUCUACACUUUCUCUAA